UGAGUUUGCCAGACAAUCGCUGACGAAAGUUGGAGGAAAGUCCGGGCUUUAUAGGGCAAAGCGCUGGGUAACGCCCAGGCAGCGUGAGCUGACGGAAAGUGCCACAGAAAAGAUACCGCCUCGAUUGAGGUAAGGGUGAAAUGGUGCGGUAAGAGCGCACCGCAUUUGCGGCAACGUAAAUGGCAGGGAAAACCCCGCUUAAAGCAAGACCAAAUAGAGAAUCAAUGCGGCGGCCCGUCGUGAUUCUGGGUAGGUCGCUAGAGGCUGGCAGUAAUGUUAGUCGCAGAGGAAUGAUUGUCCACGACAGAACCCGGCUUAUCGGUGAACUCAUCUU
rnacentral:RNase_P_RNA from 2 species